rnacentral:rRNA from 1 species
GACGAACGCUGGCGGCGUGCUUAACACAUGCAAGUCGAACGGAAAGGCCCUGCUUUUGUGGGGUGCUCGAGUGGCGAACGGGUGAGUAACACGUGAGUAACCUGCCCUUGACUUUGGGAUAACUUCAGGAAACUGGGGCUAAUACCGGAUAGGAGCUCCUGCUGCAUGGUGGGGGUUGGAAAGUUUCGGCGGUUGGGGAUGGACUCGCGGCUUAUCAGCUUGUUGGUGGGGUAGUGGCUUACCAAGGCUUUGACGGGUAGCCGGCCUGAGAGGGUGACCGGCCACAUUGGGACUUAGAUACGGCCCAGACUCCUACGGGAGGCAGCAGUGGGGAAUAUUGCACAAUGGGCGGGAGCCUGAUGCAGCAACGCCGCGUGCGGGAUGACGGGCUUCGGGUUGUAAACCGCUUUCGCCUGUGACGAAGCGGGGGUGACGGUAAUGGGUAAAGAAGCGCCGGGUAACUACGGGC